rnacentral:lncRNA from 1 species
AAUUUAAGUUAAUUACCAAUUAGUUAUUAUAAUUUAAAAAAUAACCUAAAAUGCCCAUAUUGUUACUUUCGUGGCCGUUAAGUAUAACUUAAAAUUUAAACAAAUUAGAAAUUCAACAUAGGAAAGAUCAAUAACUAAGUAAAUUAAAUAAAAACAGAUAAACUGCUGUUGGAAUCAUGAAGCUCAAAUCUGAUCUCAGGAAUAUGUAUGACACGUCGUCUGUUUGUCAGCAAGGAUAAACGACAUGUCAAGCAUUGGAGUUCAGAACAGCUGUUUGAUACAAACGAUAUGUCGGCUGGAUUCGUUAGUAAUACACGUGAUGUGUCACAUGUUUCACUAACUCAAACAGCAGCCAUCUCUGCGUUUUAAUCAAGAGUUUGCAUGAAUGUUUGACAAGUGUCCCAAAGCUAAUUCAAGAAAUGGUUUUUACCGUUAGCUCACGCGGGAAGCAGCUGGAGGUCCUCUUGGCUGGAAACCCAGGAGCGUGAACUAGUUUCUUGGGGUUCUUUCAAAUUGGUCAGAGUGGAGUAUAAAAGGCCAUAGGAUCUGUUGUUAAGUGUAUCUGUUCAUUUACAUGUUUUCUCCAAAUUUGUAACUUGUUCUCGGAAAUCAAUAAAAGGGUUGCUUCGUUUUCCACAGUGGAUGUAGGCAAGAAAUUGGCCGAACCACUAUAAUCCUUGGUGCAAAGUGUGUGAUAUGAUUUUCUUUGAUUGUGUGAUUGAUUUCCAGUGGUUAUUCUUGUUUCUUGUCAAAACUUAGUUUAGUGAUUAAUUCCAAACAAAGAUCAAGUUUCAUAGAGUGGGUCUUGGGGGUUCCAAAUUGGUCUUGGUGAUUGGUUUGGAUUCAACAAAUUGGUAUCAGAGCUUAUCUCUGUUUUCUUGGUCUCUGUAAUGGCGUCAACUAAACUUGAAGUGGAGAAGUUCACAGGCGAAAAUGAUUUCCACCUAUGGAGGCUCAAGAUGAGAGCCUUACUGGUGCAUCAAAGGUUGGAUGUUACACUUGAUGAUGAGUCAUCAUCCAAGAAGCCAAUGAAAGGAACUGAAGAAGAAUUAUCUGAGGUUCUUGAUAGGGCACACAGUGCAAUAAUUCUAAGUCUUGUGGAUGGUGUACUCAGAGAGGUGGGUGGGUAAAAAACAGCAGCAGGACUAUAGAAGAAGCUUGACAACUUAUACACAAAGAAGUCAAUGGCUAAAAGACUACCCACUAAGAAGAAGCUUUAUACAUUACAGAUGGGAGAAGGAUCAUCAAUUACUGAUCACAUUGAUGCUUUCAACAAGAUCAUCCUGGAUCUUGAAGACAUCAAUGUGAAAAUUGAUGAUGAUGACAAAGCCAUGAUCCUACUCUGCUCUCUACCGAGUUCCUAUGAGAAUCUAGUGGAUACAUUGAUGUAUGGAAGACAGACUCUCGCUAUGGGAGAUGUAAAGGAAGCUCUGAGUUCCAAGGCUGCAAUCAAGAAAGAAACCAGGGAUGGAGAAUGGCUGACAGCAAGAGGAAGAACUGAAAAUAGAGAGACAAGUAAGAACAAGAAAAAGAGAUCAAAAUCCAGGCCAAAGAACUUGAAAUGUUUUCACUGUCAUAAGGAGGGCCAUUUCAAGAAAGAUUGCCCUGAAUUUAAAAACAAGAAAAAUAAUGCAAAGGAGAAGAAUGAAGAUGCUGCUGUUGUAUCAGAAUUUGAAGAAUCUGAUGGCUAUGACUUAGCUAGAGUUCUAAUAGCAACUGAUGCUCAAACAAAAGGUAAUUGGGUUUUAGAUUCUGGUUGUUCCUUCCACAUGUGCCCUAAUAAAACUUUAUUCACAAACUAUGAGACUUGUGAUGGUGGGAUAGUAGUAAUGGGUAAUGAUUUAACCUGUAGAGUGGUUGGCAGAGGUUCAAUUAGGUUGAAAAUGUUUGAUGGCAUGAGUAAGGAACUAAGGGAUGUUAGACAUGUGCCUGAUCUCAAAAGAAAUCUUAUCUCUCUAGGAAUGCUGGAUAAAAUAGGAUGCCUAGUUAAACUUGAGUCAGGCACUUUAAAGGUCUUGAAAGGGUCAAUGGUUGUGAUGAAAGGGAACAUGAGCAAUGGUCUGUAUGUGUUACAGGGAUCAGCUAUCACAGGGGAUGUUGCUAUGUCAAACCAGAAAAUAAAUAAAACCAUGCUGUGACAUAUGAGGUUAGGCCACAUGAGUGAAAGAGGCUUAGUUGAACUAUCAAAAUAGGGAGUCUUAGGAGUAGAUAAGAUAGAGCCUUUGAAAUUAUGUGAAGAUUGUGUUUUAGGAAAAUCUUCAAGAGUGAAAUUCAGUACUGGUAUCCAUAAUUCAAAGGGGACUCUAGACUACAUUCAUGCUGAUCUAUGGGGGCCUGCACAGACAGCUUCUCUAGGUGGGGCUAGGUAUUUCUUAUCUCUUAUUGAUGAUUUCUCAAGAAUGGUUUGGGUGUUUAGUUUGAAAAGCAAAGACUAAGUGUUUGAUCAGUUUAAGAACUGGAAAAUAUUAGUUGAAACACAGACUAAUAGAAAGGUGAGAAGACUGAGGACAGAUAAUGGGUUAGAGUCCUGCAAUAAGGACUUUGAUGAUUUCUGUACAAAACAUGGUAUAGUUAGACACAAAACAAUAAGACACACACCGCAGCAAAAUGGAUUAGUUGAAAGAAUGAACAGGACCCUAAUAGAUAAAGUUAGGUGUAUGCUGAUCCACUUUAAGCUACCCAUGAGUCUAUGGGCUGAAGCUCUAGAUACUGCUUGCUUCAGAGUAAACAUGAGUCCCUCUUCUAGAAUCAAUUUCAGAACCCCAUAUGAGCUCUGGUCUGGCAAACCAGCUGACUAUUCUCAAUUGAGAAUAUUUGGCUGCCCAGCCUAUGCUCAUGUCAAACAAGGGAAGUUAGAGCCCAGGGCCUUUAAGUGUGUGUUCUUAGGAUAUCAUGCUGGUGUGAAGGGUUACAAGCUGUGGUGUACAGACAUGAAGCCACCAAGGGCAAUAAUCAGCAGGGAUAUGGUGUUUAAUGAACAUGAAAUGCUUCAAAACUCAGCCACUGAAAAUCAAACCAUUGAGAGAAUGUCAGGUUGUGACAAGAAGAGUUUUCUUGAGGUGGAGCUCCCAAGCUCUAGCACAGAAGCUGACAAAAAGGCAAGGCCUGAGAAUUCACCUGGAAUAGAUUUUCCCGAACAACAAGGUGAAUUAGAAGGUGAUGAUAACCUCAGAAAUUAUCAACUGGUGAGAGAUAGAAAGAAAAGAGAAUCAAAGCCACCUAAGAGGUAUGCAUAUGCAGACUUGAUUGCAUUUGCACUAUCAACAGAACAGGGAGUAGAAGAAGAUGAACCAAAGACUUACACUGAAGCUGUCAGUAGUAAGGACUCAAAGAAGUGGGUUGCAGCUAUGGAUGAAGAAAUGAGAUCAUUGAUCAAGAACCAUACAUGGGAUCUGAUUCCAAAACCAGAAAAGAAGAAAGUAGUUGGCUACAAGUGGAUCUAUAAGAUCAAAGAAGGCAUACCAGUAGUUGAACCACUUAGAUACAAAGCCAGGCUGGUUGCCAAAGGCUUCACACAAAAAGAGGGGGCUGACUUUAAUGAGGUUUUUUCCCUAGUGGUGAGACACUCUUCCUUGAGGAUCUUGUUAGCACUGGUUGCAGUAAAUGACAUGCACCUAGGAUAGAUGGAUGUCAAGACUGCAUUCCUUCAUGGUGAAUUGGAAGAGAUGAUUGUAAUGGCACAACCAAGAGGUUAUGAGGAUCCAGCUAAAGCUGAUUAUGUGUGUCAUUUGAGAAAGUCUCUAUAUGGAUUAAAGCAAUCCCUGAGACAAUGGUAUUUGAGAUUUGAUAAAUUCAUGGCUGAGAAUAGUUUUCAAAGAUGCUCUUAUGAUUGUUAUGCAUACCACAAAGAUUUGAGAGAUGGAGGUAAGAUCUAUCUGUUGUUAUAUGUUGAUGACAUGCUUAUAGCAUGUAACCACAUGGAUCAGAUAGAUAAGCUGAAGAAACAAUUAAAGAAUGCAUUUGAGAUGAAGGAUCUUGGGGCAGCCAAGAAGAUUCUUGGAGUAGAGUUGCUAAGAGAUAGUAAGAAAGGGAUACUAAAGCUGUCACAACACUGCUAUAUAAAGAAAAUACUUGAGAGAUUUGAAAUGGUGGACUCUAAACCAGUUCAAACUCCACUGUCUGCUCAUUUCAGGCUGUCUUGUAAUCAGUGUCCAAGGACUGAAGAUGAAAAAGCUGAGAUGAGCACAACUCCAUAUUCAAGUGCUGUGGGAUGCUUGAUGUAUGCCAUGGUCUUAACAAGGCCAGAUAUCUCUCAUGCAGUAAGUGUAGUUUCCAGGUAUAUGGCUAAUCCUGGAAAGGAGCACUGGAGAGCUGUAAAAUGGAUCUUAAGAUAUCUCAGUGGGAUUGCUGAUUAUGGCCUCAUCUAUAGUGCAAAAGGAGGUACAGAAGUUGAUGUUGAAGGGUAUGUGGAUGCUGACUAUGCAGGGGAUCUGGAUAAAAGGAGGUCUCUGACAGGCUAUUUGUUCACACUCAGUGGCUGCAUCAUAAACUAGAAAGCUUCACUGCAAAGUGUUGUUGCUCUGUCAACAACAGAAGCUGAGUACACUGCAGCUGCAGAAGCCUUUAAGGAGGCAAUAUGGCUCAGAGGAAUAGUUACAGAAUUGGGAUUUGAACAAAGACAGGUGGCUUUUCACUGUGACAGUCAAAGUGCAAUUUGCCUAAGCAAGAACCAGGUGCAUCACGAAAAGACAAAGCACAUUGACGUUAAACUGCACUUUGUCAGGCUGGAGGUGUCUAAAGGUAUGGUGAAGCUGUUAAAGGUUCACACUGAUGAUAACCUUGUUGAUAUGUUGACAAAGGCUAUACUAGCAGCCAAGCUGGAGUUCUGCAUGAACUCAGCUGGGAUCUGCAGGCUAUAAUACUGCAAGGAUACAGUGGAAGGCAGAAGCAAAAGGGUAACUAAUUUGAGUUCAAGGUGGAGAGUGUUGGAAUCAUGAAGCUCAAAUCUGAUCCCAGGAAUAUGUAUGACACCUCGUCUGUUUGUUAGCAAGGAUAAACGACAUGUCAAGCAUUGGAGUUCAGAACAGCUGUUUGAUACAAACGAUAUGUCGGCUAGAUUCGUUAGUAAUACACGUGAUGUGUCACAUGUUUCACUAACUCAAACGGCAACCAUCUCUGCGUUUUAAUCAAGAGUUUGCAUGAAUGUUUGACAAGUGUCCCAAAGCUAAUUCAAGAAAUGGUUUUUACCAUUAGCUCACGCGGGAAGCAGCUGGAGGUCCUCUUGGCUGGAAACCCAGGAGCGUGAACUAGUUUCUUGGGGUUCUUUCGGAUUGGUUAGAGUGGAGUAUAAAAGGCCAUAAGAUCUGUUGUUAAGUGUAUCUGUUCAUUUACAUGUUUUCUCCAAAUUUGUAACUUGUUCUCGGAAAUCAAUAAAAGGUUGCUUCGUUUUCCACAGUGGAUGUAGGCAAGAAAUUGGCCGAACCACUAUAAUCCUUAGUGCAAAGUGUGUGAUAUGAUUUUCUUUGAUUGUGUGAUUGAUUUCUAGUGGUUAUUCUUGUUUCUUGUCAAAACUUAGUUUAGUGAUUAAUUCCAGAACAAAGAUCAAGUUUCAUAGAGUGGGUCUUGGGGGUUCCAAAUUGGUCUUGGUGAUUGGUUUGGAUUCAACAACUACAAAAUGGAUCUUUGAAUAAUUUUUUUUUAAAUAUAGGAAUUAAUUGACUCAAACUCAAGAGAUUAAAGGAGCAUUUGCCCGAAGAUAAUUUAUACAGCUUUGAGAGAACAUAUUUUUUUUCCUUUACCCUUAUGCACUCAAGUUGGUAAAAACGUUUAGGCUAGAUAGUUCCAUUAGAAUAAGUUCACGUGCUUGGUGUCAAUAAGGAGGACCAUAUAAUGCCUUGCCUACACCAGAAUAAUUGUAAGUUGUGUAUUUUCCUGCAAGAAGUGCUGACCUAAAAGCAAAAGUAACACCAAGAGUUUCGAGAAAAAGUUCUGUAGGUUAAAGUGAUCGGGCUACCACCGCAUUAUAGAAGCCUGAUUUCAGUUGCAUAACGUGUCUGUAAGGAGCCAUGAGAGAGGGGGUCGAUGAGGUUUAGGUUUUCGAUGAGGGGCCAUGGCUUUAGACCGAGUGGCAAGUUGAGGUUCUUCUGAGAAUAAUAAUGCCGGUGGAUAUAUAAGAAGAUGAGGAUAGAAAGCAAGUAGUAUCACAUAUAUAGCUAUAUAUAGCUUGAAUUUAAUUGCUUGCUUUUGAUUAUUAAUUGUAUUUUUUGUACGUAUAUAUAGGAGGACAAAGGAAGAGAGACUGUCUUUGGUUUUACAAAGUAUUUCUUCUUUCUUAGAACAACAGCCAACCAAAUUAAAGAAAAUUAUAAGUGUGUGUGUUAUAUGACGAUGCAAAAUCAAAGAAAACAUGUGGAGAAGGGAGUGAAAAUAUAAAUUACAUCAAUUCAAUUACAUGAUAGAAUUUGAUAAAAUAUACAAUAAAAUUGAGAGAGGUGUUCAUACGCAGAUGUCCGUAUGAACUUACAACGCGGACGAAACAAAAAGAUAAAAUAACAUGAAUUUCAAUAUAUAUUUUUGUCUUUUAGUGUAUUAGAGUUUGUGUUUUUUUUUUUAAUUUUGUCUACAUAAAUUUUUCGUACAGACGUCCACACUUGAGCACAAUUGUUUAUAUAGGAAUAACUGAUAUUUUAUAUAAGAAUAACUUUUAUAUAGUCAAAAGAUUUUUCUUGUAAUUUAGACUAAUUAUAAAUAAGAAUAAAUUCCACAUUAUAGAUGCAUAUUAGUUGCUGCUCUGUCACGGUUCCUAAGCUUUGAGGUCUUUAUCAAUAUUUGAUGCUUGGGAAAUUGGAGGUCGCUAGCUGCCAAUGGAAGUUGAUAGUUUAUGCAUAACCCAAUUGGUUAGUAGCUCCUCUGAGACCAUUAAUGAAUACCCUCUGCUUAUCCUCUCUAUCCACGAGCUUCUGCAAUGAGAUUAGCAUGCUGACAUCAAUCAUAUCUAUUGCGAGGCCAAUUUUACAGUUGAUGCUCUUACUACUCAUACAAUAUCUCUUCCUUUGGGUCUCAAUGUUUUUAGCUCCCCCACUUUCUUCUAUUAAUCACAUUGUCUUUUGUGAUAUGUAUGGGGUUGCUUAUCCCUGUUUUCUUUUGUCUUAGCUCUCUUUGAAGAACCCCUAUGUACAAAAAAUAAACAACUAAAUAAACUCUAUAUUGUAGUAAAUUACAGUUUUUAUAGAGUCAUAUCUUACGAAAAUUGUCUGCACUUAGUAACAUUUUUCAAUAAAUUACAAAAAAUAUAUGCUAUAUUACAUUAAAGGUUCAAGAUUGAAUAAAAUAUUUUUCUAAAAUUAUUUGGGACAAUGAUUUAAUCUUUAGACUUUCAAGAUACUUUAUAUAAUCUUAACACUACAUACUGGGGCGGUUCAACUAAUUUUGGGGGCCUCAGGUGAAUUGUUUCAAUUAGGCCUUUUAAAAAAUUUGAAGUCAAAUAUAUGUAUUAGUUUUAUUAAAAAGUUAUUUAUUUAAAAUCAAUUUUUCUAGCUUUCUUAAAUAAUAUAUUCUAUUUUCGCUAAUAUAUUUUUCUCAAUAGAUAAUAUAGUUAAUCCAUUUAAUCUUUCUUGCGACUUAGUUGAUCUUAAAUAAGUUUUUAUCAAAUUUAAUUGUGAAAAUCUUUGUCAAUUACUGAUUCUUCACUUAAAUUCACACCUUUUUUUUACAAUUUUUGACAAACCUAUAAAGAGCCCUUUUUAGAUAUCAAACUAACUUUUUUAUUCUUCUCUUUUUAUUUGAAGUUUUUGGUAUC